GAUGAACGCUGGCGGCGUGCCUAAUACAUGCAAGUCGAGCGAACGGACGAGAAGCUUGCUUUUCUGAUGUUAGCGGCGGACGGGUGAGUAACACGUGGAUAACCUACCUAUAAGACUGGGAUAACUUCGGGAAACCGGAGCUAAUACCGGAUAAUAUUUUGAACCGCAUGGUUCAAAAGUGAAAGACGGUCUUGCUGUCACUUAUAGAUGGAUCCGCGCUGCAUUAGCUAGUUGGUAAGGUAACGGCUUACCAAGGCAACGAUGCAUAGCCGACCUGAGAGGGUGAUCGGCCACACCGGAACUGAGAAACGGUCCAGACUCCUACGGGGGGCAGCAGUAGGGAAUCUUACGGAAUGGGCGAAAGCCUGACGGAGCAACGCCGCGGGAGUGAGGAAGGUCGUCGGAUCGUAAAACUCUGUUAUUAGGGAAGAACAAAAGUUGAAGUAACUGUGCACAUCUUGACGGUACCUAAUCAGAAAGCCACGGCUAACUACGUG
rnacentral:rRNA from 1 species